rnacentral:rRNA from 1 species
UACGGAGGAUUCAAGCGUUAUCCGGAUUUAUUGGGUUUAAAGGGUGCGUAGGCGGGUUGUUAAGUCAGUUGUGAAAGUUUGGGGCUCAACCUUAAAAUUGCAGUUGAUACUGGCGUCCUUGAGUGCGGUUGAGGUGUGCGGAAUUCGUGGUGUAGCGGUGAAAUGCUUAGAUAUCACUUGGAACCCCGAUAGCGAAGGCAGCUUCCCAGGCUCGAUCUGACGCUGAUGCGCGAAAGCGUGGGGAGCAAACAGG